GUGCCAUACGGACGUAGAAUGCACCACACGUAUUCGGCCGCCGCUGCCUGUUGCUCCGUGGUUACCGUGUAAACAUACUAGUAAAAGCCGAUAUUCUCUGUCGUCGUCGUCGUCGUAAAUAGGUGGAGAGUACGCGCACGUACAUACAGCAUUAUUCUGUUCAAUACAUAUACAUACAUAAAUGUGAUAUUGUUAAUAUAUAAUACAAGUACAAUACAAUAAUAUAAUAAUAAUAAUAUGCUAUAAAUCGUUUUUCACGAGUAUUGUAUUAAUUUUACGUUUUCACGGAAAAAAUCGUUAAAAUAAAAAUAAUAAAAUUCCGUCGUUUUCCGAGUGCAUGUGCGUGUGCGGUUUUCGUCUGCGCGCCGAUCCGAUUUGCCCAAAAAAAUAAAAUAAAAACGGAUUAUACACGUCCGAGACCCGAGGCAAUAUGUGGAACGGAGCGGCCGGUCGCACGGGAAGCAGAGACUCGGUGACUCAGUGAUAAAGUUUCCGCGAACCAGCGGAAGGAAUUAACCGCCGACGCCGGCUCUAUACCGGGUUACAAGGCAGAACCUGAGCGGUAUCGAGCAGCGCUGUCUUGGCGACGGCGGUGUCGCCGUGUACACGCACGCACGCACGCACUAGCACACGCCUACACACGACAGAGACGAUAAUCACGCAUGUCGUCCGCGGUGGACGGACAGCAACAGCAACAGCCGCUGCAGGGCGGUGGCUCACCGCCGAUGGAAGUGGUGUUGGCGCAGCACUGCUGCAAAGAAGAAUCGCCCGGCGUAUCGCCGCCGCACCCGCAGUCCGUCAUGUCGCCGACCAUCGUCCAAGACAUGCCGCCCGAGAGCACGUCGCCCGUGAUGCUGGCCACCAUGCAGCCGGUGAGCGUGGACGAAUUCCAAUCGUCCGAUUACCACCAUCAAAACCACCACCAGCAACAGCAGCAGCACCACCACCACCAACAGCAGCAACACCAACAACAACACCACCAUCAGCAGCAGCCCGACGAUCCGCUGGAUCAGAAGACCGUCAUCUAUAUACCGGGCACCGAUCCGCAGCAGACCAUCAUUUACGAUCCGCAGAAUCCCGCAGGAUCGUUGCCGCCCGGCAUCACGAUCCAGCAGGAUCCGGCCAACGGAUCGGCAGUGUCCGUGUUGGUCCAGGGGCAGGCACAUCACCAGUACAUUGGAGCGCCGGGCACUACCGUGUUGGUCAUGCAGGAGCUAGUCGACGACAUGGGUCACAUACUGCACAGGAGACGGCGGGGUAGCUGCAGCGAGGACGACGAGGUCACCGGCGCCGUUGUUGACGGCGACGGACAGCAUCACCACCGCCGGCGACACGAUCAUCACCGCGACGACGGCAUGGCCGAUUCGGACACGAACGGUGGUGGUGGCGCCGGGGGCGGAGGAGGCGGCGGCGGCGGCGGGGGUGGCGGCGUGACCGAACAACCCGCCGAGCCGGGUGGCUGGAGGUCGUCGUACUACGAACAUCCGCUGACCGCCGCCACGUCGGCCAUGCUCAACAUUUCGGGCGGCGCUGCCGGGGACGAACAGGGCCAACAGUCGGGACAGGGCCAAGGCGGUGCACCGCUCAGUUUCGUCUACGAGUAUUACAAGCUGCCGCACUUGUCCGACUCCGUCAAGGACAAGCAUCUUGCCGACAUAUGGCCAACCACAUCUUCGCCGAACGGUUCACUGUUACCGUCGCAGCUUAAACCGUCCAACGGACUGAUCGGCACCGGUCCAGGAGGACUGGAGAUCGGCGCCGGACACCUGGGCGAUUUGCAGGGACUUUUCCUGCACCAGCAACCGCUUAAGCGCGAGCCCGAGGACUUGAGCCAUCACCGCGGCGGCGGACCACCAAACAAGGGCGGCAACAAUGCGGACGGUCUGAAAACGAUCGGCGGACGUCCCAAAGUGGUGUUGGUCGCGCCCGGCAACAACGGCGGUCAGCAGGACCAGCAGCAACAGCAACUGGUCGUGGACGUCGUAAACAACAAUAACAAUCAGCAGGCGAACAACAACAACAACAACAACAACGCGGUGGGCGGCGUGAAGGAGGAGUACGGCGGUGGACACCAUUCGCCGCAGCACAACAGCCGGUCGAUAAACGGCACGCCGUCGUCCACGUCGUCGCUCAUCACCGAGAUGAACCCGCCGCCGCCGGCCAUCGAGUUGAUCGCCACGCCGGACGGCCUGAAGCCCAUGUACGGCACGCACAUAUUCACCACCAUGUCCGGACAGCACGCGGACAGCGGCACGCCGUCGCCCAACUCGUACGAGCACCAGCAGUACACCACGUCGUCCGUGCUGACGGGCGGCGGCGGUGCCGGCAACCCGGGCGGCUACAUCACCACGUCCGGCGGCCGGGCCCCGUUCGCGGACCCGUACACAUAUCGCGAGUACUUCGGCGGCGCGGGCGCCGGCCCCGAACCGGGCCCGUACGGCUCGCAGAUCGGCACCGGCGGCGGUGGCCGGCAGACCGCGUCCUCCUACGGCGGCGAUGCCUCCGACCCCGGCGCCGUGUCCAACGCCGCGGCCACAGCUUCGUUUGUCGAACGUUACGUCCGACAAAGUUCGUACCACAACAAGGGCGUUAUCGCCGCAGCCGGGCUCACCGUCGACCUGCCGUCGCCCGACAGCGGCAUCGGCGCCGACGCCAUCACGCCACGUGACCAAAACGCCAUCCAACAGUCAUUCGAUUACAACGAGAUGUGCCAAACGCCUAGCAUGUUGGGUGAACACCAAGCACAGCGGACGCCCACCGGAGGACGGUCGAGACCGUGGCACGACUUCGGCAGACAAAACGAUGCGGACAAGAUACAAAUACCAAAAGUAUUCUCCAACUACGGGUUCCGCUAUUAUUUGGAAUCACCGAUCUCCACUAACCAAAGGCGUGAAGACGACAGGGUAACGUACAUCAAUAAAGGCCAGUUCUAUGGCAUUACUAUGGAGUACAUACCAGACCCUGACAAACCGUUGACCAGUCAAACAGUCAAGAGCGUGGUCAUGCUGAUGUUCAGAGAGGAGAAAAGUCCAGAUGACGAAAUCAAAGCGUGGCAAUUUUGGCACGGCAGACAGCACAGCGUCAAACAGCGAAUACUCGAUGCCGACACGAAAAACAGUGCAGGCCUGGUGGGAUGCAUUGAAGAAGUAUCACACAACGCCAUCGCCAUUUAUUGGAACCCUCUGGAGAGUCCGGCAAAAAUCAACGUCGCCGUGCAAUGUCUGAGUACGGAUUUCAGCAGCCAAAAAGGCGUAAAGGGUUUGCCACUGCACCUGCAAAUCGACACCUACGAAGAACCGAGAGACGGACCUGUGUACCACAGGGGAUAUUGUCAAAUCAAAGUUUUCUGUGAUAAGGGAGCCGAAAGGAAGACUAGAGACGAAGAGCGGAGAGCGGCCAAACGGAAAAUGACUGCCACGGGUCGUAAGAAGAUCGACGAACUCUAUCAUCCGCCAUGCGAGCGAUCCGAAUUCUAUUCAAUGAGCGACCUCAACAAACCACCAGUAUUGUUCUCACCCGCCGAGGACAUCGACAAGCUGACGUCAAUGGAACUUCAAGGAUUCUAUGGACAUGACACGGACACGUCUAGUCUGUCAAACGGCGAACCUGGUUCGUUGAAGCACUCGUCGCCUUUCCUGUUGCACUCUGGUGUGGCCAACAAGCCAGCUGGUACGACGACCACGCAGACACUCAAGUUCCACAAUCACUUCCCGCCGGAUACGCAUAACGUAUCUUAUUACAACAGCGAGAAGAAAGAAGUACUGGACCAGAGCGGACUGACCACGGACGGUACGGUUUUCUCGAGUCCGCCCAACAAGCGAACGAAGCUACAAGUGCCGCCCAUUAACGAGCGAGUAAUGCUGUACGUGCGGCAGGACGCCGAGGAUGUGUACACGCCUCUGCACGUCAUACCGCCAACGACCCAGGGACUAUUGAAUGCUGUAAGCACAGACUUCAUUUAUUAUUGAAAUUGAGGCUAAGUACAAAAUUUCUGCUUCCAGCAUUAGUAACAUGUAUCGAAAAAACAAAAAAGGGAUUACGGCCAAAAUUGAUAAUGAUAUGCUCAAAUAUUAUUGUAAUGAAGAU
rnacentral:misc_RNA from 1 species